CUUGGUCAUUUAGAGGAAGUAAAAGUCGUAACAAGGUUUCCGUAGGUAAACCUGCGGAAGGAUCAUUACUAGAGCAAAGGAUAGACAGCGCCCGCGGAGCUUGCUCCCUGGGGCUACCCUACUUCGGUAGGGUUUAGAGUCGUCGGGCCUCUCGCAGAAGCUCGGUCCUGAACUCCACCCUUGAAUAAAUUACCUUUGUUGCUUUGGCGGGCCGCCUCGUGCCAGCGGCUUCGGCUGUUGCGUGCCCGCCAGAGGACCACAACUCUUGUUUUUAGUGAUGUCUGAGUACUAUAUAAUAGUUAAAACUUUCAACAACGGAUCUCUUGGUUCUGGCAUCGAUGAAGAACGCAGCGAAAUGCGAUAAGUAAUGUGAAUUGCAGAAUUCAGUGAAUCAUCGAAUCUUUGAACGCACAUUGCGCCCUCUGGUAUUCCGGGGGGCAUGCCUGUUCGAGCGUCAUUAUAACCACUCAAGCUCUCGCUUGGUAUUGGGGUUCGCGGUCUCGCGGCCCCUAAAAUCAGUGGCGGUGCCUGUCGGCUCUACGCGUAGUAAUACUCCUCGCGAUUGAGUCCGGUAGGUUUACUUGCCAGCAACCCCUAAUUUUUACAGGUUGACCUCGGAUCAGGUAGGGAUACCCGCUGAACUUAAGCAUAUCAAUAAGCGGAGGAAAAGAAACCAACAGGGAUUACCUCAGUAACGGCGAGUGAAGCGGUAACAGCUCAAAUUUGAAAGCUGGCUCUUUUAGGGUCCGCGUUGUAAUUUGUAGAAGAUGCUUCGGGUGUAGCUCCGGUCUAAGUUCCUUGGAACAGGACGUCAUAGAGGGUGAGAAUCCCGUAUGUGACUGGGUGCUUUCGCUCAUGUGAAGCUCUUUCGACGAGUCGAGUUGUUUGGGAAU
rnacentral:sRNA from 1 species